GGGACUUAAUGCAUGUGUGUGAAGCACUGUCCCAGGUUAGCCUGCCUGGACUGCAGGGACAGGCUUGUAUGGGAGGAGACUUAAUGCAUGUGUGUGAAGCACUGUCCCAGGUUAGCCUGCCUGGACUGCAGGGACAGGCUUGUAUGGGAGGAGACUUAAUGCAUGUGUGUAAAGCACUGUCCCAGGUUAGCCUGCCUGGACUGCAGGGACAGGCUUGUAUGGGAGGAGACUUAAUGCAUGUGUGUGAAGCACUGUCCCAG